UACGUAGGUGGCAAGCGUUAUCCGGAUUUACUGGGUUUAAAGGGUGCGCAGGCGGCGUGUCAAGUCAGCGGUAAAAUGUCGGGGCUCAACCCCGGCCGGCCGUUGAAACUGGCGUGCUCGAGUUGGAGAGAAGUAUGCGGAAUUCGUGGUGUAGCGGUGAAAUGCAUAGAUAUCACGCAGAACCCCGAUUGCGAAGGCAGCAUACCGGCGCCCGACUGACGCUGAGGCACGAAAGCGUGGGGAUCGAACAGG
rnacentral:rRNA from 1 species